UUCUUAUAGUUGAAAUACAACAAUGGUUUUUCAUAUCAUUAGUCAUGGUUACAAUCCAUGUGGGAAUA
rnacentral:tRNA from 1 species